GCCGUUUGUUCAAUACAUAACAACUCCUCAUUCGGGUUAUUCAGCUUUCUUACUCUUUUCCUGUGCUAUUGAUUUUUUUUAUAGUUUCUGAGGAACAAUUUCUCAACUGAGAUAAGUAUGUUUGAAUAUUUUUGUUGAGGAUGUUGAUCUCUCCGUGGUCUUUGGUUAGCUUUUCACAUAGCUUAUCAAAUAUGUUGUUGAUAAAUAAAUCCACUCUGCUGCCAUUCACAUUGA
rnacentral:lncRNA from 1 species